rnacentral:rRNA from 1 species
GGAUUAGAUACCCUGGUAGUCCAUGCCGUAAACGGUGGGCGCUAGGUGUGGGGAAUCAUCUACAUUCUCCGCGCCGCAGCUAACGCAUUAAGCGCCCCGCCUGGGGAGUACGGCCGCAAGGCUAAAACUCAAAGGAAUUGACGGGGGCCCGCACAAGCGGCGGAGCAUGCGGCUUAAUUCGAUGCAACGCGAAGAACCUUACCUGGGUUUGACAUAUGGCGUUUACCUACAGAGAUGUAGGGUCCUUCGGGGCGCCAAUACAGGUGGUGCAUGGCUGUCGUCAGCUCGUGCUG